rnacentral:tRNA from 1 species
UUAUUCGAAACCAAAGCAGAGGUAAAUCAUUGUUAAUGAUUGUAGUGGGUUCUUCCCCGAUUAAG